rnacentral:rRNA from 1 species
GGGGCCCGCACAAGCGGUGAGCAUGUGGUUUAAUUCGUAAGCAACGCGAAGAACCUUACCUUGGCCUUUGACAUGCUGAGAACUUUCCAGAGAUGGAUUGGUGCCUUCGGGAACUCAGACACAGGUGCUGCAUGGCUGUCGUCAGCUCGUGUCGUGAGAUGUUGGGUUAAGUCCCGUAACGAGCGCAACCCUUGUCCUUAGUUACCAGCACGUAAUGGUGGGCACUCUAGAGGGACUGCCGGCGACAAGUCGGAGGAAGUGGGGAUGACGUCAAAUCAUCAUGCCCCUUAUGACCUGGGCUACACACGUGCUACAAUGGGCGGUACAAAGGGCUGCGAACCCGCGAGGGGGAGCGAAUCCCAAAAAGCCGCUCUCAGUUCGGAUUGCAGGCUGCAACUCGCCUGCAUGAAGCCGGAAUCGCUAGUAAUCGCGGAUCAGCAUGCCGCGGUCGAAUACGUUCCGGGCCUU